GAUUCAUAAUAACUUUACGGAUCGCAUCUCUGAUGCGACAUAUCAUUCAAGUUUCUGACCUAUCAGCUUUAGACGGUAGGGUAUUGGCCUACCGUGGCUAUGACGGGUAACGGGGAAUUAGGGUUCGAUUCCGGAGAGGGAGCCUGAGAAACGGCUACCACAUCUAAGGAAGGCAGCAGGCGCGCAAAUUACCCAAUCCUAAUACAGGGAGGUAGUGACAAGAAAUAACAAUACAGGACCUUACGGUUUUGUAAUUGGAAUGAGUUAAGUAUAAACCCCUUUACAAGUAUCAAUUGGAGGGCAAGUCUGGUGCCAGCAGCCGCGGUAAUUCCAGCUCCAAUAGCGUAUAUUAAAGUUGUUGCAGUUAAAAAGCUCGUAGUUGGAUUUCUGUUGUAUUUUUAUAAUAUUACUAAGGUAAUAUUUAUAAUAUCAACAUCCUUCCUAUUAUAUUUUUAAUAUAUAGGGAAUUUUACUUUGAGAAAAUUAGAGUGCUUAAAGCAGGCAACUGCCUUGAAUACUCCAGCAUGGAAUAAUAAGUAAGGACUUUUGUCUUUCUUGUUGGUUCUAGGAUAAAAGUAAUGGUUAAUAGGGACAGUUGGGGGCAUUCGUAUUUAACAGUCAGAGGUGAAAUUCUUAGAUUUGUUAAAGACGAACUACUGCGAAAGCAUUUGCCAAGGAUGUUUUCAUUAAUCAAGAACGAAAGUUAGGGGAUCG
rnacentral:rRNA from 1 species